AUUGUGAGAAUUUGUAUGGAGUUGGAACGUUUGCCUACGUUUGCCGCUAGGGGCGCUGUUCCAACUCCAUACAAAUUUGAGUUA
rnacentral:pre_miRNA from 1 species